AUUUAAGGCUUAGGGCCCGAGGCAAUUUGAAAUUGUUAUCACAUAAAAACUGGACAGAUUAUCCUGAUCCGUUCCUCCUCUCCCUAUCCUUGAGCAAAAAUAAGGGACGGGCGAGGAAGCAAAGCUCCACUAGCAGACUUAUAGACAAAAAAGGGAGCGGAAGUGAACUAAAUUCCACAUCAGAAGGGGAGGAGGAGGUUGACGAACCCUUUACCCUGGAUAGCAGCCUUUUGGUCUUUAGAGAAAGUACCAAACAGACAAAUUCGUA
rnacentral:misc_RNA from 1 species